rnacentral:rRNA from 1 species
GACGAACGCUGGCGGCGCGCUUAACACAUGCAAGUCGUGCGGUGUCGAAGGCAAGUCUUACGACAAGCCUUCGACACAGCGGCGAACGGGUGAGUAACACGUGAGUAGCUGUCCUAAGGAGGGGGAUAACGCCUGGAAACGGGUGCUAAUACCCCAUAUGCCUCGCAAGAGGUGAAAGUGUACUUGCUACAGCCUUAGGGUGUGCUCGCGGCCUAUCAGCUAGUUGGUGAGGUAACGGCUCACCAAGGCUAAGACGGGUAGCCGGCCUGAGAGGGUGUACGGCCACACUGGAAUUGAGAUACGGUCCAGGACUCCUACGGGAGGCAGCAGUGGGGAAUCUUGGGCAAUGGGCGGCAGCCUGAACCAGCCAUCCCGCGUGAAGGAAGAAUGCGCUAUGCGUUGUAAACUUUCUUUUCCAGGAGAAUAAAAUGACCAUACGUGUAUGGUACUGAAGGUAUCCGUGGGAAUAAGCAUCGGCUAACUCCGUCGCCAGCAGACCGG